rnacentral:lncRNA from 1 species
GCCGGACUGUGUAUUUAGGGUUUUGUGUGCAAAAUCAGGAGGAAAGGGGAGAAAAGGGGAAAGGGUGUGUGGUUAGACCUGGAAGAGGAAUUUGGGAGGUGAGAGUUUUGAAAAGCAAAAGUGCAGAAUCAGAUUUGACAUGUAUAGAAACAAGAGGAAAAAACAGGCUCUCGACAAGUAUUUGCUUUGGGCUACCCCAUCUUCAUAGUACUAGAGAAUGUGUACAGAUAACUUGAGCUGCUUUGAAAUAUGUUUUGGUUGCUGGACUGAGUUUAUUUGGUGGCAACGACUUCGAGACUGGCCCGUGUGGGUGACGGUGCUCUGAGCGUUGCUCUGCGAUGCAGCAAAGAGGAAUGGGGUGUGGUGAGUGUCUCUGGGCAUCUGAGACAGUCGGGUCAGCGGCUGUGAUGGGAAGAGGCCGGAAGCCAAGAACUGUUCGUUUGUUCCAGGACUGGAAGUUCAGCGUGACUUAUGACACAGGGCCAGCUGUGUCCAGAUGUACGAGAGGAGCCCAAAAGCUCGGGGCUCUCACAGGCUUUGUUUGUGGUGUCACUGCCCCCUAUGCUGCAGCCUGGGAGGGGAGGGGCUCGGUAGCAGCUUGGCCCUCUGUCUCUUGAAACAGGGGGAGCUGGGGCUGGAGGAGAAGCUGGUCUGCUGGGCCUGACAAUGCACUUGGAAGUGGAGAAAUAAGGACAGCCAUCUCGACAGCACCCAGACGGCUCAGCCCUGCUCACUGCCUGCCGCUGGCGGAGACCUUAUCUCUGCCCACCACACGCAGCUGCUGCAGCGUCCUGGGCGGACUGGAAGCCAAACCACCGGAGCGAGUCUGCAGGCCGGUCCCGCUGCCUGCUCCGGGGACAGGAGCAGGGAAGAGGGGAAGAAGUGAGGCUGCCUGCCUGCCUCGCUCCUCUGGCAGAUGCCACAGGGACCCCUCGGCCCCCCUUUCAUUCCACAGGAUGGAUGCGGCUACCUCUCCUUGCCCCAGUCUCCUCUCCCUGGGCUGUGCUGGCCCCAUUGCCAGAAAAAUUCCAGGGCAUUCCAAGGCAAUCUGCCUGGAAAACAAACCCGGUGCCGAGCCACCGCGGGAUGGGCCAGAGGAUUUUGGUUUAAUCCCAAAACUCCCAGCACGGCCCAAAUCUCAUAAAUCAGGUGGGGAUAGUUGUUGUUUCAAGCGGCCGGUCCUUUCUUGUGCUGGCCGGCUCUCCCCUGCCUGCUCCUGCAGUGGGGGAGGGACUCUGCAGUGGGGGUGGGGAGAGGCCAGCAGGGAGGGAAGAGAUGGGGUGACUUAGCACGAGCCAUCUCUCUGCCCCACUUCGUCCCUUGACCUUCAGUCUGACGAGAAUCCCGUCCUGGCCGGCCCCGGAACGGUAAUAAGCUGCUGUGUUCAGGGAGCACGUUCAAGCGUUUUCAAAGCACCUUCAUUUCCAAUAAUCCAUUUUAUCCCUCUGGCAGCCCCAGACGGGGCAUAGGUGAGAGGCCGGUCUCGGAGGCCACGGAGGCCGCUGUGUCCACGCGGGUGUGCCUCCCAGCACACUGGCUGCCGGGCCUCUGCAGGCUGCCCCGUGGGUGUGGGACCGCCCAGACCGAGAGUGUCUUCUGCUGACCCAGCGCGGAGACGCCCAGAAGCUUCCACCACUGGCCUCACAUUGAAGUGCGUGAGCACAUGGACUUCUGCUCCGAAUCUGGCCCUGCCCUUCAGCAGCUGUGGUGCCUUGGCCAAGUUAUUUAGCCUCCCUGGGCCUCAGUUUCCUUAUCAUAAAGCAGGGAGAAUACCCACCUUACAGGGCUGUUAGGAGGACUAACUGAAUCAAUAUUUAGAAAGUGCUAGAGCAGUCCCUGGCACGUAGUAAGGGCUGUGUCAGUGUUUGCUGAAAAAACUGGUCUCAGCUCUGAAACCCAGGAUCACACAGACGGCGGCCAGGCUCUCGGGUAUGGGAGCUCGCGUGGGCUCCCUGAACCUCUUCUUCUCCAAGCCCUUCAGUUACCCAGCAAAUAUUUGUUGAACACACACCAUGUGCCUGUGUGUUUGGCCUUGGGUUUGCUGUGUGGACGGAAACAAAACAGUCCC